rnacentral:ncRNA from 2 species
AUUCACAAAGAGGGGUGCUGCCCUUGCGGGCGGCUGAGAUUAUACCCGUAUAACCUGAUGCAGGUAAUGCUGCCGUAGGAAUUGCGCAACCCGUUUGC